rnacentral:rRNA from 1 species
AUUGAACGCUGGCGGCAGGCCUAACACAUGCAAGUCGAACGAGUGGCGGACGGGUGAGUAAUGUCUGGGAAACUGCCUGCUGGAGGGGGCUAACUACUGGAAACGGUAGCUAAUACCGCAUACCAUCAGAUGUGCCCAGAUGGGAGUAGCUAGUUGGUGGGGUAACGGCGCACCAAGGCGACGAGCCCUAGCUGGUCUGAGAGGAUGACCAGCCACACUGUAACGUAGACACGGUCCAGACUCCUACGGGAGGCAGCAGUGGGGAAUAUGGAACAAUGGGCGGAAGCCUGAUGCAGCCAGGCCGCGGGUAUGAAGAAGGCCGUCGGGUUGUAAAGUACUUUCAGCGGGGAGGCGUUACCCGCAGAAGAAGCACCGGCUAACUCCGUGCCAGCCGCCGCGGUAAUAC